rnacentral:misc_RNA from 1 species
GAUGAAGAACGCAGCGAAAUGCGAUAAGUAAUGUGAAUUGCAGAAUUCAGUGAAUCAUCGAAUCUUUGAACGCACAUUGCGCCCCCUGGUAUUCCGGGGGGCAUGCCUGUCCGAGCGUCAUUACAACCCUCAAGCUCAGCUUGGUGUUGGGCCCCGCCGCCCCGGCGGGCCCUAAAGUCAGUGGCGGUGCCGUCCGGCUCCGAGCGUAGUAAUUCUUCUCGCUCUGGAGGUCCGGUCGUGUGCUCGCCAGCAACCCCCAAUUUUUUUCAGGUUGACCUCGGAUCAGGUAGGGAUACCCGCUGAACUUAAGCAUAUCUAUAAGCGGAGGA